rnacentral:rRNA from 1 species
CCGCCGGCGACCGGCGCACGGGUGAGUAACACGUAUGCAACCUGGCCGUGACAGAUGGAUAACCGGGAGAAAUCCCGCCUAAUACAACAUAAUGCCGGGAGGGGACAUCCCCUGCCGGCCAAAGGGGGCGACCCCGGUCACGGAUGGGCAUGCGGCGCAUUAGGUAGUUGGUGGGGCAACGGCCCACCAAGCCGACGAUGCGUAGGGGUUCUGAGAGGAAGGUCCCCCACAUUGGAACUGAGACACGGCCCAAACUCCUACGGGAGGCAGCAG